rnacentral:snRNA from 1 species
UGAUCCGAAAACAAUUAACAA